AUACCCCCACAAACGAAGUUUAGGGGGGUAUAUAGGAGUCAGCUUGUCGGUCGGUCGGUCGGUCGGUCGGUCGGUCGGUCCGUCCGUCCGUCGGUCGGUCCACAUCAUGGUUUCCGGACGAUAACUAGAGUUUGGAAUGAGGUAUUGUAAUCAAACUUGGUAUAUAGCAACCUUAUGUGGAAACUCUGGUUGGUAUUGCAUUUGGACCCCCUGGGGUCAAGGUCACUGUUACUAAAAAUAGAAAAAUGGUUUCCGGACAAUAACUAGAGUUAGAAAUGAAAUAUUGUUAUCAAACUUGGCGUAUAGCAAGCUUAUAUGAAGACCUUGGUUGGUAUUGCAUUUGGGUCCCCUGGGGUCAAGGUCAAGGUCACCGUUACGAAAAAUAGAAAAAUGGUUUCCAGACAAUAACUUGACUUAGGAAUGAGAUACUGUAAUCAAACUUGGUGUAUAGCAAGCUAAUAUGAAGACCUGGGUUGGUAUUGCAUUUGGACCCCCUGGGGUCAAGGUCAAGGUCACCGUUAA